GACGAACGCUGGCGGCGUGCUUAACACAUGCAAGUCGUACGGUAAGGCCCGUUCGGGGGUUCACAAGUGGCGAACGGGGUAGUAACACGUGCCUAACCUGCCCACAACUUUGGGAUAACGCUAGCAUACUGGUGCUAAUACUGGAAAUGUACUCCUGCUGCAUAGCGAGGGUUGGAAAGCUCCGGCGGUUGUGGAUGGACUCGCGGCCUAUCAGCUUGUUGGUGGGGUAGUGGCCUAACAAGGCGGCGACGGGUAGCCGGCCUGAGAGGGUGACCGGCGACAUUGAGACUGAGAUACGGCGCAGACUCGUACGGUCGGCAGCAGUGGGGAAUAUUGCACAAUGGGCGCAAGCCUGAUGCAGCAACGCCGCGUGUGGAAUGACGCGUUUCGGGUUGUAAACCGCUUUCAGCAGGGACGCAGCUUGUUGUGACGGUACCUGCAGAAGAAGCCCCGGCUAACUACGUG
rnacentral:rRNA from 1 species